UUUCAACCAGGAGAAGAAUUUCUAUCAUGCUCUGCCCUGGUCUGCUGUGGGCAUUCUUGGCUGCCUUUGGCUUCAGAUCCAGCAUGGCUCAGAAAGUAACCCCAGCUCAGACUAUAAUAACAAGGAACGAAGGAGAAGCUGUGACCAUGGGGUGGAAGUAUGAAACCAGUUGGAGCAAUUAUUAUACUUUGUUCUGGUACAAACAGCCUCCCAGUGGAGAGAUGGCUUAUCUUAUUCAUCAGGAUCAUUCGAAGCCAGAUGUAAAGCAGGAUCGCUUCUCUGUGAACUUUCAAAGAGAAGAAAAAUUCAUCAGCCUCACCAUCUCUUCCUUACAACUGUCAGACUCAGGAGUCUACUUCUGUGCUCUCUGGGCUCCCACAGUAAUAGAAAUGAUGGUGGAAG